CACUCCUGCGGGAGGCAGCAGUGAGGAAUAUUGGACAAUGGGUGGAAGCCUGAUCCAGCCAUCCCGCGUGCAGGAAGACGGCCCUAUGGGUUGUAAACUGCUUUUAUCUGGGGAUAAACCUACUUACGUGUAAGUAGCUGAAGGUACCAGAAGAAUAAGCACCGGCUAACUCCGUGCCAGCAGCCGCGGUAAUACGGAGGGUGCAAGCGUUAUCCGGAUUUAUUGGGUUUAAAGGGUCCGUAGGCGGACUGAUAAGUCAGUGGUGAAAUCCGACAGCUUAACUGUCGAACUGCCAUUGAUACUGUUAGUCUUGAGUAAGGUUGAAGUGGCUGGAAUAAGUAGUGUAGCGGUGAAAUGCAUAGAUAUUACUUAGAACACCAAUUGCGAAGGCAGGUCACUAAGUCUUAACUGACGCUGAUGGACGAAAGCGUGGGGAGCGAACAGGAUUAGAAACCCGAGUAGUCCCAUG
rnacentral:rRNA from 1 species